CGCAUUAUAAAACCUAAUUCAUAAGAACUCACUAUUUAAAUACUUCUUAUUACUACCAAGUCCAGCUUCAUAAGUCAAUUACAUAACUUAAUCUGAUUAAAAAUUAUAAAUUGUAGCUCACUUUAAAACCUUUUUUAUUAGCUGCAUUUUGACUUGACAUCACAACCUGUUCGUUAUUAAGUUUUUUCCGAAGUUUUUACAAAAUAAACUGACGACAGCAAUAUACAAACUGACAUUUUCAAAAAAAAGUAAGUAUAAAUUGAGGAUUAUCAAAUUAAUAAGCAAGCUCCCCUGGAGGGAUAUAUAACACCGCCAAGCCUUUUAAGUUUCAGACAAAUUAAAACUAUACACUCGUAUAUAUAACGUCUAUACUACUUAAGUAAUAAAAUUUUUAAGAUAAGGAA
rnacentral:rRNA from 1 species